UUUUUGGAGAGUUUGAUCCUGGCUCAGGACGAACGCUGGCGGCGUGCCUAAUACAUGCAAGUUGAGCGAAUCUGAUAGGAGCUUGCUCCUUCUCAGAUUAGCGGCGGACGGGUGAGUAACACGUGGGUAACCUGCCUGUAAGACUGGGAUAACUCCGGGAAACCGGGGCUAAUACCGGAUAACUUUUUUCUUCGCAUGAAGGAGAAUUGAAAGGUGGCUUUAAGCUACCACUUACAGAUGGACCCGCGGCGCAUUAGCUAGUUGGUGAGGUAACGGCUCACCAAGGCGACGAUGCGUAGCCGACUUGAGAGGGUGAUCGGCCACACUGGGACUGAGACACGGCCCAGACUCCUAC
rnacentral:rRNA from 1 species